rnacentral:lncRNA from 11 species
GCCUUAAGAGGUCCCUUCCCACUCUAUAUGAUCCUAUGAACAUUGUUUACAAACUGCAUUCAAUGACAGAUUCCCUUACUUCUUUCUCCUGAGCGCCAUUUUGGUGGUAAGGCAAUAGAGAUAGCAUUGCAGCUCAAAGAGAGUCCAGCUUCCUAUCCAUGCAGCCAGGUGGGAAAGCAACAAAAUGCGGCCUGUCCCUUUAAGAGGGACCGUGUUUCUGUCCGGUGCGCAGCGCAAUGCCUCCUGGGAAGCCGAGUGCCAGUGUCUCCUCCCACUUGCUUCCUCUGCUUUACUUGAGAAGGCCAAGAACUGCAUUUCCCAGCAUGCAAAGUGAGUUAACCUGGGCGCUGCGGCCUUAAAGGGCCAGCACAGGCAGAAGCGGCUCCAAAACUCAGCAAGGAGCAGGCAGUCUCCAGUUUGAUGGUAACAUGACCGAAGCAAGGAAUUAAGAAGACCAGGGACCAUAAAGUUUCCCAUAUGCAGUGACUACAUGGACAGCAUACUAAAGAGGGUCAGCUGGAGCUAUGCAGGUUCUGGAUCAAUGCUUGGAUGCUGUAAUGGACUGCAUGAGGGCCAACAACUGAAUCCGAAUCCCAGUAAGAUGGAGGCUCUGUGGAUUACAGUACCCAUAGAACCAUUGCAUUA